AACCUCCUGCAAUGCUCGAAAGAUCUGAGUGGGGGACUCCGAGUGCCUACGCUUUGCGUAGGCUUUUCCUGAGCCUAAAAGCUCGGGGAAUAAGGG
rnacentral:rRNA from 1 species